GCCCGGUUAGCUCAGCUGGUUAGAGCGUCGUACUAAUAUUGUGGGGGUUCCAAAACCCUGCUAUAUCAUGUCAUGCGAAGGUCAACAGUUCAAUCCUGUUACUGGGCA